AGGCAAACCGACUAUAGCUUCUUCUCCAGGACAGAAGGUCUAGAAUGUGUAGAGGCGGCGAAGGGGGCGGGCCACUAGGAGGCAGCGGCGGAGAUGACGGUGGUGGUGGUGGCGGCGGCGGCGAUGACGGCGGGGGCGACGGCCAGCUCGGAGGCUGCAGAGGUUAAGGUAGACGCGGCAGAAACUGCCUGCUCCGCUUCUGUGACUUUUUAAAUUGAAUGUGAUCAUUAACUUUUACCCAUGAAUAUAAAAAUGGAGCAGUUUUUCAACUACUCAUGAAAGAUUAUCCAUGAACGCUAAGAUUAUUUAAUUUUUCAUGGAGCGUAGAAUUCUGUGAAUCACUUCAUACAUAGGCUACUUAGUCAAAAGUCAAAUCUGUAAUUUCAUUUUCAAAUUUAAUUCUCUCUGGUUGCUAAAUCUUUACCUAGGUUGUGAGGGAACAUUUCAGAUAAUACAAGAUUCGGUGAAGAAAAAAUAUUAGUAUUUCUUCUGAGAAUUUUUCUUAAUGAAUUGUAAGUUACUGACCUUUCAAAAUAGAGAAAUUUAUGUUAUUUAAAAAUUUUUUUUUGUAAAAUUUUAUUUCUCUUCUUUCUUAAAAAAUACGUAAAAUAGGUUGGGCGUGAUGGCUCACACCUGUAAUCCAGGCACUUUGGGAGGCCAAGGUGGGCAGAUCACGAGGUCAAGAGAUCGAGACCACUCUGGCUAACAUGGUGAAACCCCAUCUUUACUGAAAAUACAAAAAGCCAGCUGUGGUGGCAUGCACCUGUAAUUCCAGCUACUCAGGAGGCUAAGGCAGGAGAAUCACUUCAACUUGGAGGCGGAGGAUCUUGCCACUGCACUCAUGAACUACAGAGGAAAUAAAAACUCCCAUGUGAAGAUGCACUCCCUGCCUAUACUAGAAGAAAAGAAACAUAAUCAAGAGAAUUCUGUACAAGCAGAUCAUGUUAAAAUCAUUCUCAUUUUUGUUUUAUCUCCCACAACAUUUACUUUCCCACAAUUGCCUUUGUUUAGCCUAAUAUAAAAGCAUUUAGAAAAAUAAAACUAAAAAAAAAUUUAAAGCAUUUAGGUUUUGCUACUUCUUUGGGUCCUUAUUUCUUUAUGAGGGUCCUGUGUCACAUAAAACAUAUAAAUUUGUAUGCUUUUCUCCUGUUAAUCUGUUUUAUGUCCAUUUCAUUCUGAAGCCCAACCAAAAAUAUAAAAUGAUAGAGAUAAAAUUUUGCCUCCUCUACAGCUGUUGAAAUUAGAUUUUCUAACCACAUGACUUAGCUUAAAGUGAAUUCUUUCAGUUUCCAUACAAGUGCCUAUUGGUAGGUUAGGUAUUGUGAGAUACUGGCCCAACAAACCAGCCAAACCUACCUGAACAUCUGACCUCCAGAACUGGGGGAUGAUAAAUAAAUGUUUACUAAGCUAAAAAGUUUAUGUUAAUGUAUUAUAUAGCAAUAGAAAAUUAAUACACAUGCUUUCAAAAACUGUAAAUAACUUUGCUUUUGUGAUUAUUAAACUUCUAGUUCAUUCAAGGGGCAAAAGUCAUAUGCCUCAUCAGUUCUAGGAAAUAAGGUGAAUAAGAUUGUUCUCUGAAAUCAAAAUUGUGAAAUAAAGAGAAAGAUGCCCAAUUUGCCUUAAAUCAAAUGUGGAUUAUAAAUUUUCAGACAAAAUGCUACUUUAAUAAAACUAUGAAAUCCUUUUCUCAGAGAAGAAAAAAAGCUUGCACUCAUAGGCAAAACACUUUGUGUGGAAUAUCAAGAUUGAUUAUAAGACACCGCCUCUAACAGGACAACUCUAGUGCCCAUAGAGCAUAAACUAAAAUGGUUUAAUAUAUCACCCUAAUCAGCAAAAAAGUCGAAAUCAUUUUGCGUAAGAAGUGAAUUUCACACACAUUUUGAAGGGUCACAGGCACAAACGAAGACAACGCUCAUGAAGUCACUGCACUGAAGCAUUUCCCUGAGCCCUUUGUAAGUAUCUGGCAAACUUUGCUGUAUUAUCUCCAAAUGUUAGAGCCUGUUGGAUUUUUGUUUUGAAUUGUUUAACUAUGUCUCUUUUAUCUGAGUAUAAACUAAGCUUCUGAUUACUUGUUAUAAUGGGUAGCUUAUUUUAAAGUAAGUAUGAGUUAGUAAGAUUGCCUCACCUAUCUAAUAUCUGGGAAGGGAUACCUCAUAUCAUAUCUUUUAAAUUUUAUUCUAAAUCUUUUUUAGCUUUAC
rnacentral:lncRNA from 1 species